UAUUGGAAAAUGUGCCUGGAAUUAA
rnacentral:rRNA from 1 species